UAGGGAAUAUUAGUAAUGGGCGAAAGCCUGAACUAGCAACGCCGCGUGUGCGAAGGAGGCCUUCGGGUUGUAAAGCACUUUUUGAGAGGAUGAGGAAGGACGGUACUCUCAGAAUAAGUCUCGGCUAACUACGUGCCAGCAGCCGCGGUAACACGUAGGAGGCAAACGUUAUCCGGAUUUACUGGGCGUAAAGCGCGUGUAGGUGGUUUGGUAAGUAGGGCGUGAAAGCUCCUGGCUCAACUGGGAGGGGCCGUUCUAAACUGCCGAACUAGAGGAUGGUAGAGGGAGGUGGAAUUCCGGGUGUAGCGGUGGAAUGCGCAGAUAUCCGGAGGAACACCAGUGGCGAAAGCGGUCUCCUGGACCAUUCCUGACACUCAGACGCGAAAGCUAGGGUAGCAAACGG
rnacentral:rRNA from 1 species